rnacentral:rRNA from 1 species
AGGGCCCCACCCCGAGGGGAGCCUGGGGCUGAUUAUCCCACCCAGGGAAGCUAACCCGGCCGGCCCGCACACUGGAAGGAAUGACAGAUUGCUAGUUCUUUCUUGGUCGGGGGGUGGUGGUGCCUGGCCGUUCUGAGUUGGUGGAGCAAUUUGGCUGGUUUAUUCCGAUAACGAACGAGACUCUCGCCUAUUAAAGGGGCUCCCGGGUUUUCAACGCCGGGAGGACUUCUUAAAGGGACAGGUGGCGGUUCAUCCGCAAGAAAGAGAGCAAUAACAGGUCUGUGAUGCCCUUUGUUGUCCGGGGCCGCACGCGCGCUACACUGAAGAGAUCAGCGUGCUUUAUGUUCCUGCUCCGACCGGAGUGGGGAACCCAGUGAACCUUCUUCCUGAUUGGGAUAGAAGAUUGUAAUUAUUCUCCUUGAACGAGGAAUUUCCGUAAAACCCUCUUUUUAAAUUUUUUUUUUUUUCCCCCCCAAAAAAAAAAAAAUUUUUUUUUUUUUUAACCCCCCCCCCCCUUUU